AAUAUUGCACAAUGGAGGAAACUCUGAUGCAGCGACGCCGCGUGAACGAUGAAGGCGUUCGAGUCGUAAAGUUCUGUCCUAGGGGACGAUAAUGACGGGACCCGAGGAGGAAGCCCCGGCUAACGACGUGCCAACCACCGCGGUAAUACGUUGGGGGCACGGGUUGUCCGGAUUUAUUGGGCGUAAAGGGUUCGCAGGCGGCCUUUUAAGUCAGAUGUGAAAGGCUACAGCUCAACUGUGGUAAGCAUUUGAGACUGAAAGGCUUGCGUUAAGGAGAGGAAAGUGGGAUUCCUGGUGUAGCGGUGGAAUGCGUAGAUAUUAGGAGGAAUACCAGUGGCGAAGGCGACUUUCUGGACUUAUACUGACGCUGAGGAACGAAAGCGUGGGGGGCAAACAGG
rnacentral:rRNA from 1 species